rnacentral:lncRNA from 1 species
GAAGAGAGGAAGCGUACUCACAGCAGGCGCCUGAUGUAUGCUAAGCACUAUGAAGAUGGUCUAUCAUUUCUUUAAGUUGGAAUCUAGGAAAUAGGUGGGGUAUUUCGUGGCUAGAAGAAGGAAGUUAUGCAGCACUGAAGAGACACAUGGAAAGGGAAGCAGAGGACCAGCAUCGCUCUACUUCGUUGGACACCUGGCUUGAUACAUUUCACAGUCAAAUUUACAAUGCUUGGGGAAUAGGCAUGUGAAUUAUGGGCCAGGAAGA